GCCUUGGAUUGUUGAGGGACAUGGACUCCCAUAUUGGAAACGCCUGCAUGAAGCUUAUUUGUGAAAUGGCUCGACAAAUUGGCAAGGACAUAUACAUUGAGGACUUUUAUGUUGUCCCUGUGUGGAAAGAAACUCCUAACAACAUUGUUACUGGAUUACCGGAAGAUGCAGACUUGAAAGACCUGUUAGCCUUU